CAGGAAGCUCCGGCCGCGCGCGGCCCCUCCGCACCGUGCACGGAAGCCAGAACAAAGCAACGAUCCCCCCGCCGUCUCCUACCAUCCGUAGACAUCGCCAUCUCGAUAAGGGUCUCGUUGUCUUUCUUCCCCGAGCGAUUCAUGGUGGCCGCCCUUUUUUCUCCGUCCUCGCCGGCGGCGGGGGAGCCCUCCCGGGAGCGGAUGGGAUAAGAAGGGGAGCUGGAAAAGAAACUCCAUCUUGAUUCCUCAGUCUGGAUGGGUCUGGUCUCGUCUCCUUCAGGGUCUCUGAAGCUGAGAUCAUCUCCCAGGAUCAGAGCCCGGCGGUGCUGGGGAGGACAGGAGGCUCCAGCCAUGGCUGUUGUUCCUUCUUCUGGAGCUGGCGCCAUUUUCGUGUCUCAAACAGCCUCCUCUCCUCAUCGCUUCCUUCAGUAAUCUGAGGUUUUCAGUUCCAUGACUCACUGCAACCAAGAGGUACCACCAAAACAAAGGAGGAAAUGGGGAACCACACAAUGGCAGGACCAUAUUACUCCUGAAAUAUCAAGAACCAGGGCAAGGAAACUGUGUGGGUGCGGUCGCAGCUCAACCUAUCCGUGUCCCGCGGUGCUGGCUGCGGGGGGAGGAAAACCUGACAUGUGGACACCGGUUCUGGGGGCUCCACAUGAGCAACCGAGAUUUUCAGAGACCUCCUAGAGAUCAAGGUAACCGUGUGAAAAAUGUACACUAGUUACUGUGGGCUAAUCGUCUGGAGGACGAAGGUGUGCGAAGGACGCAAAGCUCCAGAGCACCUCAUCCUUGUGGCAGCAGUUGGCUGAGGAUGGUCGGUCUGUCCUGCCCUUCUCCAGCCUGCCUGGCCCUGCACUGGCUGCACCACCACUGGCAGAUCUCUACUGUAAGAAAGUCAAACAGGUGAGCUUUAGUCUGUUGGAUGCAGCCUUCUGGAUGGAGUGGUAGCUCAUCAGCCUGCUAUACGUAGAAGCAAACUUUAGGGGAGUCCUUUUGUUCCUGAGGGAAGCCUUAUCUCAUCUGAAUAUGACACUCCAAAAAAUAUCAUGAGACAGGGAUGAGAUCCAACAGUUAAAUCUGCACUUCUGAAGCACCUGCUGUGCAGGAGCUGCUCACGGCGGUUAACAACGAAGAGCAAGGUGGUGUCUUUGGGGACAGAAUAUGGGAAGGAGACCCAGCCUGUGGUUCCUCGAGUUCUGGAGCCUUCUCCUGAUGGAGGACACAGCUCCUGGAGAGAGAUGUGACUCCCAUCUGCCCAAACAAGCUGCUGGAAAGGGUUCUGAAACUGCAGGAUCUCAGGCAUUUUCCCCCAGCACAAACUACAUGUGCACACAUGGAGUUCAUCUGGCUUGGAGCAUCGGCGUGAAGGUGGCAUAACCACAUGGAUUUUGCAGCGAUAUCCCGUGGUGACAGGCACGUUGCUGGGAGCUGGAUGCGACUCCUGAUCUCCUGCUGAUCAGGUAAGUGUUCGGUUCCAGUUCUAUUGCUUUUUCCUUCCACAAGUACAUGGUUGUCUUGGAUGUUUUACUAUCAAGUUCUAGCAAAAAAAAGAUAAAACAAACCCAAACUAUAUGAAUAAGAUGCCAGAGAAAAGCAGAACAUUCAUAAUUUAAGGAUAAAUAAUAAUGUUGCUGGAAGGUAAAAGCACUAUGGAAGUUAUUAACUACAGUGGUAAUUUCUAUUUAAAAUGGUAAUGAAAAGCAGUCUGCUCUGUAACCAGACUGCUAAAUAUAGGCCCAGGGUAAAUUUUCAAUCAAAGCAACACCACUGGUAUGAGCUAGCUUGCCCAGAGUUUACCCAAGAACCUGGUAUUUUGCUUUCCUGCAUAUUGCAUUCUGAAGAAGUGUCUGGCAGACUCAUAGAGUUGAUGGGCACCACCUGCUGGUCUGUUCUGACCACUGGUUUUGUUGGAGUCACACCGUGCCCCCCUUUUCUGCUGAGGUACAGCUCAGGUCACGUACCCUCUCUUGACUGUGCUUAGGGCUUUCUGAGGGAAAAAGAUGCCGCAGUUGUGCCCAGUUACAUCCUUGGCUCUCUCUGCUUUAAGUCACUCAGCAAGUUCCUCCAGUUCUCUUACAUUACAUAGUUCUUUGUGCCCUUCAUUCAGUUUUCUUUUUCGCCAGUUCAUGUUAUCAUCCUCCUUUUGCCUUCUGUUCCCAUCCAUUAUUUGGUUGACUACUUAAAAUGCACAGAUAUUGGUAUCGUGCCCAGGGAAAAUGGAACAAAACCAACCCUGCUCAGACAUGAACAGGGAACCAGUGGCCUGUAGAGAAGCCUGAGAGGAAAUGAUUUACAUAAAACAGGCAGAUUAAUGAAAAUAGAAAACUGAUCUCACUGGGAGAAGGACAGUGAGGACCCCUUAACAGUUGUAGAGAUCUCAGCUGAUGCUAAAUUAAAAGACAUAAUUAGUAUUUCUCCUCACACAUCUAUGUCAUCUUCAGAAACGCAAGACACUAAACCCUUGAUUAAUUUAUAAAAACGAGAGUCUCUGCUGAGUGUUAUACAAUGACAUAGAGCAGACUUAGUGCUGGGGAGAGCGUCAAACACAUUUAUUUUAUUCCAUUGUUAUUUAUUUCGCUCUCCCUCCAGCUUCUUCCCUUCCAUUCAUCCACCAUUUUAAUGCUCUGUUGUAUUUUCAACUUCAUUGCGAGGUGAAAAACGAGCGUGAGGUCAGAAAAAACAGAGAAGAACUAGUACUAAUAAUUUUAGGAAGGAUGAUUUUUCCCCACCAUCUAACUCCUUAACCAUGCUCUCUUUAACAAACAGCUCUCUAGACUUCAUCACCUACUGUGCAAAUACUCAUACAGGUGUCAUAGAUGUUCUUAUUCUAAACAGGGGAAAUCACAGCAGGUAUUUGCAAUCUAUGUUAUAAUACAGGCCCUGAAAAAUUCAACUUAAAAUGCACUUGCCUCAGUGUAGGAAUCUCUGCAAAGCCAACAGAAAAAUCAAGAGUUCUACGGACUAUUGAGAAUUUCCUCCAAAUACAAACUUCGCCAUAUGCAACCAAGCUCAUACAAAACUGUAAUAGCAGCUGCCAGUACAGCUCAGAGACACACAUUUGGUUGCUAGACCUUCUCUGUAGCACAGAAUUCAAAAGACAUUUUUUCAACCACAAAAAGAAAACCCAAGCCUGCUGUGUUGAGGUCUCCUUGUCUUUAGCCAGAAUUUAGCAGAUAUGGUGGAGAUGACUCGAUUCCAGUGAAACUGUCAGUGUAGGGAUGCAGAGCAAACACAAGUUGCCUUUUACUGCCUCAAGGCACUAACGGCUGCAGCAAGGAAAAAAAGGUCUGUUUGGAAGGAUAAAAUUGUUCGAUCAGUUCAGAAACAUUUUUCAGGAGCCUAAAACUCAGAAGCCAGGGAGCAAAAAUUAUUAUCAUUAUUUUUUUUUAAUCAACCAAAAAUGUGCUUAACCUGGCUUUGGUUUUUAAAGAAAUGAGUAAGUUGUCAAUAUUGAGUCAGCUCAGUACUGCAACCGAGACAGUGGGUACGAUUCUUCCCCCUUCAAUUAGCCACAGCAUGUUCAUUAGUGUCAGCUGAGACAGCUGGGCCUACAAACUCUAAAUCCCACGAGGAACCGCUGCUUAAGUUAGUUUAGUGCUGAACUAAUUAAUUGUAGGCAGUAAAUAACCCAUGAAGUAAUGCAAUGAUUUAGAUCACAUUUACCACCACAGCAAUCCUAACACCCAUGGUCAUGUUGGUCAGAUCAGAGUGGAGGUGGUUCUGGGUUUGGUAUCUACUGGUGUCCACAGUCAUUGGCAUAACUUGACUAUUUGGAUGACAAUGUUCUGCUUGCCCACCCACAUCCCUUCAGCUGAAACCCUAUAGCACAAAGGCAAAGUCUGACAUCCCAAUUAGAACCCAGCAGCUCACAUAAAAGGGAUCUUAGUGCUCAUCCGACAAAUAAAUCCCACCUUCUGCUGGCCCCCUACUUCCUUCACAGCUUUCUCCUUUCCACACUGUUCUCCAGCUUCAAUCCCUGAAAUCCAAGCUCCUCCAUCUCCCCCUUCCACUUUGGGCCAGCACAUUUCCCACAGUGGGAAUACAACCAUGUAUUGAGCUCCACCUGGAGCACACUGGCUCUGCACCGCCCUAGAUGGGAAGAAAACAGCCCCCCAAGGGAGGGAGCCGUGCUGGUGCUGUGCUAAUGAAGCACUGUGGCUGAUUUCACCGUAAUGCUUAAAUAAAAGCAGAAAAGGCACAUAACCCUGAGCCUGAGGGAACAGAGCUGCUCCAUAGAACUAAAGGGAGGAGAUGAAUAGGUGAGACAGUCUCUCAUUACCAGACAUGACUUCACCUAUCGGCCUUCCUCUUGCCUCACAGCAAUGACACUGGCCUUUUUCACAGCAAUUCAUGCAUUUCAAAGGGCCAGCAGCACAAAAGGAAUCUAAAAAUAGGUUAAAGCCUGAAACCAAAGAGCAGCUGUUUCAUUAGCAACAACAGAAGCAGAAGAGGAAAGAAUUGCAGGAGAGAGCUCCCUAAGUGUGCCAAAUGACUUGUAGCUUAUGCUGUCUAACAGAAAUUCCAGUAUCUAGACACAUUUGAGAUGUGCACUGAUACAGGUGGGACCUGACAUGUGUGUGCUGUUUUUUUUACACCAAGGAAGAUUGCUGGGAAUCGGGGUCUCGGGACAUGGACAUCCUGUGUGAUCAGACAUCCCACAGGAUCAUCUUGCACUGGUAGAAGAAGCUCCAAAUGACAGCAAGAGGUCAUCAGUUGGGGAAAGAUCCCAGCAGAAGAAAAACAGAGCCUGCUGGGAGCUGUGUCAGUGCUGUGCUCUGACACAACAGCUGGACCAACACUUGCAACUCACGUUUAUAAAGUACCAGUUGUACGAGGUAGAUUCUCUGCAUCCCACCCAUCCUUGGACAUCUGCACUUCUCCUGUAGAGAAGAAAUCCUUUCCAUGCAGAUCAGUGUUCACCAUUUAUCCAAAGACUCUGCAAUUCAUCAAAAUGCUGAUCACAACCUUGAAAGCACCCGUACAGGCCACGUUCUUCAGCUAUCAACUUGGAAUGAUGAUCUGAAAGUGGAACAUAAAUGGUGAGCAGAACAAAGUGAGGUUCAGCGUGCUCAGUCCAGCCAGGAUUCUCCGUGUUAGCUGGGAAGAAAGCACAUGGAAUCCCAUCCUAUGUGUGAGUACACAGAUAUUCCAAUUCAGAGCAGGUAUUGGAAUCAGUAAGACUGAGUCAACUCUAUGGUAUGAGAAAGGAUGAAACAAGUUAAAGCUAAAUCUUUCAGAUUACGAAGCAAGGACAGAAGCUGGAGAACACAUGGACACUGCAUUGUUCUUAGACUAGGACCAACAAUACUCUUGACAGUACAAAAUAACCAGAGCCAUCUCAAGCAUUUGGCUGCCAAAGUCACACCUGAAGAGAUGCUGCUAUCUGGGAAAAGCAAAGCACAAGACAGCUUUCUGCACUGCUUCUCUCUCACUGUUUGCCUCGGCUUUAGCCUUGGAAGAUACCUGGUGCUUUCAAGACUUUGGCACACAGGGUUAGAACUGAUCCAAUUAAGUCAAUUAAGAGGUCCACAUCUGAGCUACUUGGAUUAGACUCUCUUUAAAGCUAAUGGACAUCGUACAAUUCAUCAUGCACUAGAAUAGACAGCUAGAAUAGCACAGGUGAGUCAUGCCUAAAAAUAGCUAAUCACCUCCAUUAACUAAUCAGGGAAGCCUAGAGUGCCCAGUUCAGCUGCAGAUGUAUAUACAUUGCCAGGUUUCUGAGGUGGUGAGAAGUGAAUCCCACCCCAGGUUCCUGUCAGUCACUCAGCAGCAGGAACAACCCCUUUUCCAACACUGCCUGAAGAUCAGCUGGGGAAAAUACUUGUUUUGUGCUUUGCUGCCUUUCUCUGGCUGCCUCCCCCCACAGAUACUUGAGUGCAAAGCCCAAGAAUGUGCCAGUCAAGGCUGAGAGCACACACAGCUCCUUCCUUUUUUAAGGUAUGAGAUACACACCACUCCUGCAGAUCAGAGGUACUGAAAACUGAGGCUUUCAGCCUUGGCUCUGCAUCCACACCACCUCAGAAGAGCAAAGCACCACAUGUCAGAUGAAUGGGAUAAAUCCCUGGCUGGCCAACAGCGCACAGUGCUGCCUGUUGUUCCUGCCAGCCCCCUCCUGCUGCUAACGAAGGAUCAGCCCUGCAGUCGGCUCCUGGGGCUGAGGCUUUAAUGCAAUCUGGUGAAGAGGAGAAGUAGUGAAAGAGAUGGUUGCCUUGUGAUUAUCUUCAAGGUAGGUGGGGAAGAAGAGAGAAGGUCCUGGUGUGUCAGGCCAGGAGGGUUUAACGAUAAAACACUCUGGCAGUGGCCUGCAGGGAUCAUUAUUUGCAGGAAAGUCACCUUUGGGGCUGGGAAUCAUAUAGUGCUCUAGGAAAGAAAAGCUCUUAUAACUGAGAAGAAAAGGCUUUCCCUCACAGGGCCUGACAAUAUCAGCAGGAAGACUUGCAUGUGUUUGAAAGCUUCAUUUAUCCAUGUUGUUAGCAUCACCUCCAGAGAGGCUGCAGCGGGGGAUGGAAUUCUGCUGCCAAGAAAGGAUGGGAAAAUGGUUUGGGCAGCACAGCCCAACCCAGAAACCAUAUGUGACUUUUGUGCCAAUUCCAAAAAUAACAGCGUUUUUUUCAUCAAAUCUUCUUCCCACAUCCCCCUACUAUCACGAUAUGUUUCUCACGAUCAGUGCUGCUCCAUGACCACACUGGUACCCAAGAUCUGUUUUCUCCAUGGCAGGCCACGACUUUCCAGAUCAGGACACACUUAGUGCUACUGGGAAAGCCCUUUGUUCACCCUCUGGGUUGCCCAACCCAAAUACUUUUCUUCAGGCGUGAGAUGCAUGAUAUUCUUGCUGUGCUAAGAUUUUUUAUCUUGAGUUACUAUGAGCAGUUAGCGUUCCUUCUCAGCACUGCUAGACAACUGGUUGUCAGGGAACAUAUACAGCAACCUUCCAGUACCUACAAGAAAGCUGCAGAGGGACUUUUUACAAGAGCAUAUGGUGAUAGGAGAAGGAGUGAUGGCUUUAGACUGAAAGAGGGUAGAUUUAGAUUAGAUGUAAGGAAGAAAUGGUUCACUGUGAGGGUGGUGAGACCUGGAACAGGCUGCCCAGAGAAGUUCUUGACGUCCCAUCCCUGGGAGUGUUCAAGGUCAGGUUGGACGGGGCUUUGAGCAACCUGAUCAGAUUGUAGAUGUUCCUGCCCAUGGCAGUGGGGUGGAAACUAGAUGAUCUCUAAGGUCCUUUCCAACCCAAACCAUUCUAUGAUAUACAUCUAUGGAUUGUUUCCCUGCUCGCAGUCUCUGGACCGUUCCUCUCACCUGAGAUAACCCUCUGCAGAGCAUCUCCCAGCACAGUACUGAACUCAGCACCAGAAAACCUGACGCUGGCCAGCUGUCCUCUGCUAGUGUGCAGGAACAAAGGAACAACACUCCCUGUUUAUGCCCCAAGGGAAUUGUGGGCACCAACACAGAUAUUUCCACUUCUAAGAGUACCCAUUUGUACAUAUUCUUAAUAUAGUAGCAUUUAGUCAAAGCUAGUUUGGAGUUAUCAAUAACUUACUGUUGCAAAAAUGGAUGCCUUUUGGGUGACUAUGCCAAUGAGAGCUGUGCAGAUUCUUGGUAAUUAGCCCUGCAAAUACCAUCAUUAAACUUUAAACUAAUAUAAAGAAAAUGUGCAACUGAGCAUGCUAAUAAUAGCACCAGCCAGUUUCUUAUACUGAAUGUCUCCAUAAAGAUAUUCUUUAUAACACCUUUGGCACAACUGGGACCUUGCAUAAUUAAAUUUGAUUUCACUUUCUUACAAGUCUAAGCAGAACUGGAGAUUUCUUAAUUAGUUACAAUUAUUCUUUUCAGAAAUGUGUUCUAUUUAGUAUAAUCUUGUAUUCAUCUAGCCAAACACCAUAUGUAUUUAUUAUUAUUAUCUCCUACUGAUAGCUUUUUAGCUGAGACAUUUUGACCGAGAUAAAUAACUACAUGCCUCCCAACCACAACUUUUUGUGUGGCAUCUGCUUUGGGUGGUAAAAUAAUUUACUAAGUGAAAAAUAGCAGUUUAUGGAGAUAAGAUAAUUUGCCAUUCUACCAUUUUAAGUAGAGAUAAAAAUGCAGGCUGAUUAUCAUCUAAAUCUAACAUUUCCACACCCUACCUCACCAAAAGCUGCUAAUAAAGUGGCCUCGAGAGAACUUCCAUUCUCAUUAAUGAAACUUCCUCACCUAAUUACUUUUCCCUUCUCCUACAAGACAGUGGAGAAGUGGGCUACGGUUCUCUCUCCCUGGCAUGUUGGGGGGAGAUGCAAAGGUUGCCAGGCUAGUACCACCCACCCCCAAGAAGCCCAUCCCAGUAUCAGUAAAAGACGUUUACUGGUCCGUGUGGGUGCGAUGCUCGGCGAGAUGCCCCAACCGCAACCCACACCUGUGUUCUACCUGUGUUCUACCUGUGUUCCUGGAGCUGUGCGGUGCCAAUUACAAGAGCAACAAGGCAAAAACUACUUCUGUUUUGUGCACAAUUGUGCCCCGAGCUGAAAAAGCCCAGAUGCGAUCUCUCACAGAGUUCAUUCAAGCAAGAGGCAGAGGCUGAAUUACCAGCUAAAAUGGAAAUAAACUAAAAGUGGUAAAUUUGAGAACAAAACACCGGAACUUAUUUACUUCUCAAGAAAUUAAUGAGCCUCAAGAGCUCAUAGGUUGCCAAGCAAAUUAAAUAAACAUCUUUCCCUUUUAAAAUCUGGGGAAUUGCAGCAAGUAGAAUUGACUUUAUGCUUGUCUUCCCUCUGCUUCACUACAGGUACCAAUCUGGUGAAAUAUAGAAGGGAAAUGGCUGGACAAAUCUAUAAACAACAUUAAACAAAGGAGCUAGAGCAGGUCAGGGAGUAGUACAUAACUUUACGUAUUAUGUAAGUUAUUUUGCCAUAGCAAUGCUUACCCUUUCUUUAGUGCUUUCUAUUCGCAGAUGUAGGACACAGUUUGCCUUUGGAGGUGAUUCUAUCACACAUGAGGCUUUGAAAAGAUCCACCAGCAAGUUAAAAGUAAUUGAAUUUAGAAAAGCACUUGUACUUACCAAAUAUACUGCAGGGUCUCCAUGCUUUCUAGGUCAGUGCUGUAUCUGACUUAGUCUGGAGUUUUCUCAACACCAACCACUCAGAAAUCCUAAGAAUAACACCAACAUCAUGUUACUUAAAUAAAUAAUUAUAUCAUUUUAUUUACUUGCAGAUUUUUAUGAGUACAGGUUGUUUAUUCUCCAUGCUUUCCAUGUUUUUUUCGGGGCAGAAGCAUUAGAAAUUUAUUUGGGGGUUAGGGGUAAAAGAAGCUAAAGUUUUAGGUUACCAAGUUUCAGCUGGGACAUCAAGAAGCGUACCAAGCCCGUCCCCCAUUUCUUUAGGUUAAUGAAACAAUUGCAGCCAGUAACGAUUAUUUGAAAACUACCAAUUAAAUUGGUUUUGGUAGGUUUAGUCUCAGUCUCUUUCAUCAAGAAAUAUACUUGACAAAAUUGGUUUCAACAAUUCACAAAGUUUAAAAGUUGAAAUAUAGUGUCUACCAUGAUACUUGUAGAUGCACACACUUGAAAGGCAACCCCCCGACCAUACAAAAAUUAUUUUGGUCCCCAAAGUUACUGGUUUACGGAAUAUAGUAGAAUCCAGUCCGCAAAUUUUAAUAUGCCAAUGUCAAAUAGAACAGAUUAAACAAGGGGUUUCAUGUUCGGCAUAUAAAGCUCUCUAUUCUAGGUCACUGACAGUAACCCUUCAUCAUAAAGCAGUAAUGAGCUUGAUAGUUUCAUUAAAAUAUUACUUCUUGUUGUGUAUAUUAAGGAUGAUUUCUUAUCCUGUUCUCUUUAUCUGUUUGUAUUUGGCGCAGCUAUUUCAUUAUUGAUGUCAAGAUGCAAUUCAAAAUUUAAUGAUUAAUUUUCAUGUAAAUCUUUCUUGUUUAAAUAAUUGAUGGGAAAGAUGAGCACAAGCAUUUGGAGUCAGCAAUUGUUAUUCCUUCUGCCUUUUCUGAUCUUUGCAGCAGUCCUCUCCAUCAAGCCCCCUAGAGAACACACCCUUGGGGGGAAAUGGCUUGAAUUACCCAGCCUUGUAUCAUUCCAGAUGGGGAAUUACCUUAAUACAAAUCUCUGCUCUGUCCUCCAAAAUCUAUACGUUCAUCCUGCCUCCCGUAUGGCUGAGUACCUGAAUUUGCAUAAAGUCCUCAACCUUCUGCAUCAUGAGGAGCCUGGAAAGCCACAGACAGCUGAUCCUGCAGCUGGCCUCUUUGGCCAAAUGUCUGUCUAAAAUUGCUCACAUUUAGUAAACGAGGCAAAAGGCCGAGCAGCAAAAUGCUAUUGCCCCACAGCCUCAUCUGUGCUUGACAGUCAGGAUGGAGUCGUGUUCCGCUCCUUUGCAAAGAUCUUCCUCUGCUGGGUUCAUGGAUGUUGUUUCUGGAGACCCCAAACUGCUACCAUAGCACUGAAAACUCCAUCCAAACUCUUCCAACCCUGCUUUUCAUUAUUCAGUAAAUCAUCUUUACAUAUGUGGCCCAGGCCCGUCAAUAAAUCUCUGAUGGCCCCUUAAGCCCCAAGGGAGAAACUAUCGGGAUCUACCAGGGCAUCUCCUGGGCGAGAAACAGAGUCUCUGCCACGGUUUUAAUACAGCUUGCAUUAUAUGAUUUUUCACAGCAAUUAAUAUAUUUAAUAAAGUCAUAGAGUGACCUCCUUUCAUUCUCUUCAAGUUCAAAAUUUCAUUAAAAUCUGAAAAAAUACUCUGGACUAGAAAACAGACUAUUCUAUGCAAGAUAAGUUAGCGGCUCCCUCCUACUCUGCCCUGCUAACAUUUCAAUAUAUAAGUAUUUUCUUUUCAAGUUAAAUAGAAUUGUAAGCUGUAACAGGGAAUAAAUGCUAUAAAGAUAGAAAUCUCUACUGCCAUUUACGUGAUGAGUUAAAAAAAAGUAACCAUCUUUUCAUGCUCGGGGGUAUUUUUCCCUCAGAAGUCACUUUUUAAUCUGAUUUAAAUCCAAUUAAGCCUGAACAUCUAAAAUGAAGAGCAAGUUUUUGAAUUUAUGUAUAACUGAUUUAACUAAUCACCGUCUUACUGCAGAGCUACUAAGCAAACAAACUAUGAAAAAUAAAUGUGAAAUUAGAUCCAAAUCGUAGACAGCCUUGAUUUUGUUUCUAAAAUAAAUAAAUAAUCAUUCUGCACAGGGCACGGGCCUCUGUUUGCUACCAGCAAGUCAAAGCUGCAGUUACAUUGGAAAACUAGUGGUGAAAAAUGAUUUUAUAGUUGAAAAAAAGUAAAUGCAUAUUUUUACCUUCACAUUUAGGACAGAAGGCGCUCGUGCUCCUCGAUAAACCCUUCUCCAGGCAGCCCGAGGACGCUGCAGCCACUGGGGAAACCCCGCUGCCCCAGCAGCUCUCCCCUCCUUUUGGCUGGUGAUACACGUAGCACUUGGCUUCUUCAGUUUCAUAGAAUCAUAGAACCAUUUAUGUUGGAAGAGAACCUUAAGGUCAUCGAGUCCAACCAUAAUCUAUCUCUGGCACUAAACCAUGUCACUAAGAACAUUCAUCUACACAUCUUUUAAACCCCUCCAGGGAUGGUGACUCCGCCACUGCCCUGAGCAGCCUGUUCCAAUGCCUGACAACUCUUUCUGGGAAGAAAUGUUUCCUGAUGCCCAACCUGAACCUUCCCUAGUGCAACCUGAGGCCAUUUCCUCUCAUCCUAUCACUUGAGAGGAGAGACCAGCACCCUCCAUGCUCCAACCUCCUUUCAGGCAGUUGUAGACAGCGAAAAGAUCUCCCCUUGUACAUCAUCAUCAACCAAGAGUUCUGGGACCUUGCUGGCCAGUUGCUCCCAGCCUGGGAGGUGUCCAAUCAGUCCCAUCAUCCCUCGUACCCUCCUUCUUCCCCUCGAUGGAGCAGACGGGCAUCGAGGCUGGAUACACACCUCUGACACGAUGGGCAUCCACAUGCCCCAUGGCUCCCUGACCCAUACGAAAUAUCAUCCAACGCCUGAGCAACACUUCUUGCCCCCAAGCCAUCUCCUGAGCAGGCUGCAAGUGCUGCAGAGGGGGUUUGUUAGGGAGGAGGGUUUGAAGGAUGGGUCAGAAGCUCAACCCUUUCAUGUCUGUAUCUAGGAGCUUCUGUUCUUCCUCAUUUGCCAGCAUGGAGACUGAACACUAACCGCAUCGGGCCAUUUCCAGGUAACUGGGCCAGGUAUCCCACACUUUACUCUGACUUCCUCAUACAUCAAGCAACUUUGGUAAUCCAGGGAUAUUUCAGAAACAUGUCUGAGACCCGGAAAUCUCAGUUCCUGCCACGUCUUAUCUGUAAGUUGAAUAAAGAAUGUGUUACUGUCAUCACAACUCCAGCAUCUUACAGAAUACCAUAAUAGUGUAACUACAGGAUAAUAGAACUGUUAAAGCUCCCUGUCACCAAAUAUCUUCCAUUAAAGUUGCUGUCUGCUUCACAUGUGGAAACCACUAUCUCAUCGGUGGGAUGACAUAGAAAUGCUGCCAGACACCGUGCAGCUCAACCCCUGAUAAAGCAGCUUUCUCCGUGUGGGUCACAAGCUCCAUAGCUGCAGGCAGAGCUCCUCCCAAACUGGCUAUUACAAAUUAACCUGUGCAUCCCGCUUUCUUGAAGUAAUCUUGCUGAUAUUUUUCCUUCCCCUCUCACACAUGCUCCUAUACAUUGGAACUGGGAGAUUGCAUCUGGAAAAGCACUGUGCAGAAGCAGCUCAAUCCUGAAAUACCUGUUGGCCACCUAUCAAAGUUCACAUCCAGCUGCAAAUUCUGCUUGCAACCAGCUCAGAAACCCUGCAGGUCUUCAACCUGGGCAAUAAGAGUAAAGAUGGCAAGCCCAAAAUCACAGCUCUUAACUCAUUGCCUCAUUCCUUUCAAUGAAAUGAAGUUUUUUCUCCUCCUUGUUUGAACUACAUAAGAGAUUACAAAGCUUUCAGAGAGCAGAAAGUGGGAAAGCUCACAUACGUGCUUUGGAGUUACAUCUUAGGCGUGCAUACGGGGAAAGAAACAUACUCGGAUUAUUUCUUAAACCCUGGCACAAUUCUGUGCGUCCAGCUUGGUGCUGUGGCAACAGGCAGCAGCAGUCAGCUUGUGCUGUGAUUUGCCACUGAUUUUUCUCACGGUUUAAUGAAAAGAUUACUCAGCUAGAGUUCGUCUUAAUUUUUUUAUGACACUUGUUUUGAUUAUCCAAAAUCUACCACAGGUUAAAAAAAGCCUUCCAGGAUUUUUAAGCUGCUUGAAGAUUCUCCCAUUCAGUCCAUAACAUAUAAAUGUUGCAAUUUCUCAUCUUGUUUGCAAUCCCUACCUAAUAACCCUUGGCACUGAAGGGGAUUAAGCAACAGGAUGAUUUUUACAAAUCAUAUCACACUUGCCAAGCAUUAACCAAAUGCCAUUAAAGGGCUCAGCAUCUGAGUUGAAUUUGCAGGUAUUUCUCUUCCUCCGUAAACAGUAUUGAGGAGCCCACAGGCAAGAGCAGAAAUGCAAGAGGCUGAUAAGCAAACAAACCCCAGGUUUGCUCCCAGUGUUUGUCAGAGCUGGGUUUUAGUCCUGGACCUCCGCAGCACAGGAAUCAGCCAGCCAUAUGAAAUUGGAUUCCUAAAUUGCCGUGGUGCACUGUAAACUCCAGUAUUGCUACUUUACCUGGUAUCUUUAGGUGUGUUAUACUCCAGUUAGCCCAGGUGUCAGGAGGGAACACAUUUCUGUCCUUCUUUCCUUUAAGGUUGAUAUACUGGGAGAUUCUUUUUUUCUGGGUAAUUUCUUUCCCUAAAUAUUGACAGCAGGAAAACUGAAAGAAAAACAAACCAUCAAGAGAUGUGAACCAUUUCCUCUCCGUUCUGGAAAAAGGUGAGGUAGUUAAAAGGUAAUAAAAAGGGAUGGAUUUGUGAGAGAGCAAAAUUAGCUAUGAUAUAUUUUAAAGCACUUUUGAUAUAUUUAUGAAAAGUCAAGAUGUGCUUCAAAAAGAAAUCCCAGUGCACUUUCAAAAAAUUGCAUGGUUUAAAAAAGAUGCACUUACGAAAUGAAUCAACCUUUUUUAAAAAGAAAUGUAUAUUUGGAUUUAUCAUUUUGGUACCAGUAGUAGGGGACGUUUUGCUGCAGCAAUCCAAUUAGCACAACCAGAUCUUCUAUAAACUUGAGCACUCCAGCUUUAGAACAAUAGGGAGAGACAGGUUUAUGCACAAAGCGUUUUUACAGUAUUUAUUAUAGAACGGUUUUCCCUCACCUGCCUGUACUGCAGUCACUGUAGGAAAUGCAGAAAAGGAAAACAGGAUGGCCAUUGCUGAUGGCGAUGCUCCUUACUGAUGAGGUGGCAUUCAUUAUUGUCCCCUGCAUAAUUGGAUUUAGGUAUGUAACUAUUUCAAAUAUCACAUAAACUGUCAAUUAAGUUCAAUUUCCCACUUACAGGCCCAUAAACAGAAUAAAGAAAGCCAUUGCGGGGCAGAGGAGGAGCAGGGGAGUGAGGCAGGGAAGGAGGAAAGCACAAGUUAAGAAUUGCUUGAGCCUGCAUUUGAUUAAGAAAAAUAAGGUACGGCAAUUCAUAGACACACAAACACGCUCCUAUUAUUCAAGGCUCAGCAAAUCUCCCAGAGGACAGUUUAACAGCCACUAUCUAACUUGUCCAGAUGAAGCCCUUUUCCCUAAUCCCCAGUCCUCCUGAGCUUUAAUCCACCACUAUUUAAAUUUGUCAUAAAAUCUUUUAUUUGCCUUGCCAUGUUAUUACCCAAUCAGUAAGUAUAUUAUGUCCUAAUAACUUGUACGUGUUCACUUUGCUAUGCGAGUCGAGGAUAGGUUACUGUGCCUCCUGAGCCAGCUGUAAAUAACAACACCGUAUUUAAAAACCAGAGAAGAAUUCGUGCAACAGGAUCAAAAGACCCCGGUCCUCAUCCUAGAUCAGUAUCAGGAAAAGACAGAUCCUUUCUUCUUUGGCAAAACGAUUUUCUUUUUCUCUUCCCCCCACUGUUUACUCAGGGCCGCGUUAACCCUUUCACUGCCCGCACCAGGCGGAAGGAGCCGUUUACCUCUCAGACGUGCGCGGGGAUAACACCGUGCAACAAGUCGACUCGCAGGCUGGGUCAGAAUCCAGCAAGUUGGAGACACUGACCUGCAAAAGAGGCAACGAUCAGAAACUGAAUUAAAUUGAUAGUGAAAAAUCUAUUAGCGUUCCCGAAUCUGCUGCGGUUUGGGUGCACAACUCAAGGCAGGUGUGCAUCACUGACUUGUGAAAAGUCUGUUUUCUUAGGAGAACAACAGUUUGAGUGAAAACAACCUUGUCAAGAGAUAAUGGUCUCCCCCCAGCCUGAACCAAGCAGCUAUUAAAAGCCACCGGAAUAUAACAGGCAAAUAUUUACUGCAUGUUUAUUUAAAUGUGCUACAGAGUCAUCUUGAAUUAUAACGUCACUCCUGCUUCUAGCUGCAUUUUUAACCUUCUGGAAUUUUCUUCAAGUCAAGAGAAUAAAUCAGGCAGGGAAACAAUACUGACCCUAAUACUUCACUGUAUGCUCAGUGGCUGCUAAAAAUCCUGUCACCUCUUUGAGUUCUGCUAAAAGAGAACAUGUUCAGUAUUUUACUAAACUAACUGUAUGUAUUGAAAGUAACGGGUAAAACAACAAGACUCUGACUGCGUCUGGUAUUAGGAGAACUGUCAACUUCUGGUUUGAUGGUUUUUGACAGAGACAGAAGUUAUAAAUAUCAGCAAGUGUUCUGCAGCCCUUCACUAAUGUUCCCCCAGUGCAGUUUGUUUACUGCUUCAAGAUAUUAGACAGCCAUAUAUUUUAUUUUCCUUGCUAGUAGCCAAUUUGCAAGAAAGCCAGUAAUAUAAAAAUAGCUGUUUACUCUGUAACAAGAAGUACAGUACAUUAUCACUCAACUCUGAUGUUGGUAGAGGAUAGCAAAUCAAUAAUCAGUUCUUAUUCAGUAACUUUGUAAACCAUCUGCUUCUAUCAUUGCAAAGCAUGUUCUGCUGCAGCAAAGCCUUUACGGCCAUACUAACAAACAAUUUCCUUUAUAAAAAGUCUAAGACAAUGUUGUAUCAAAAUCUUUCUAAUUGCCUUACCAUUAAGUAAGGUUAUCCAGAAAUUCUGCAUAAAGAGAUAAACUGUAACUCCCCGUGAAAGCUCAUUCUCAUCAGAAAAUAUUUUAUUUACCUUUCAAACUCAGAGUUUGUGAUCAGAUGAUGUAUUACAUUAUUAUUAGAUCCUAUAUGGCAAUUUUAUUAUUACCAUUUAUCAUCUGAUCGCAGUGGGCCCAAGACGUGCACCGACCUCGCUCCAAAGAGUCCCCUCUCUGCACAGCUCUGUCCGGAGGUGACUGCUCGGCUCACCCACCUGCCUCAAUUUAGGCACCCAGGACUCCUUGUAGAAGCCCCAAAGGUACCUUCUGCUCUUCACUAACCAUCUAGGGAGCUCAGCACUCAUUUCAAGGUACUGUUCUGUUAAGUAUCUAACAUCUGAACACCUUGAGAAUAACUAUACAGUCACUGCAAAGCCUCAGGCAUCCCACAGAAUAUUUAAUGUUCUGCCAGGGAUGAAUGUGGGAUGGGAAGGGCAGAUCUGCAAGCAGAACUUAAUUUGGAGCUUCCAGCCUCCAGUAAUCACUUUUAAGCUGCCAGUCGAGUCAUUGGUUUCCUCAGCGAGUUGACUGCUCGUUAGAAAGCAAUGAACAGUGUAGAGACUCGGGAUCCCAGUCCUGCUCUGUUUUACUUACAGCCCUUUGCCUCACCAAUAAAUCUUGCCUUUCCAUCCCCAACCAGGCAGAGCCAGCCCCACUGUCACCACACGCAUCCUCAGCAACUAAACCUCAGACUCCAUAAAUUUUACAAAGCCGCCAGAGUUUCUGCCCCCUUAUCUUCUGUAAAUAAUUCUGCACACACAUACAUAUGAGAAUACGGCAUCUCCAGGACCGAAACUCCUGCUCUUGAACCUUCUCCCAGGGGCCAGGGUCAGCAGCCGCUUGCCACAACCCAGCCAGAAGGUGGUGUCAGGAUUUAUUCCCAAAUAAAACCACAGCACAGAAGGCUGGAACAGUUUUAAACCUCGGGUGCCCACAUUCUAAAGACAAGGGAAAAAAUAUCUAAUAAUUUUUUAGUGUAUUGAGUCCUUUGGACUACUUUUCUUGGUCUCCUUGGCUUAGGAGUCUUUCCUAUAAAUCACUUCCACAUUUAGUGUCACCAGCUUCAUGAAUACAUUUGUCUUUGCUAAAAGCAUCAUUGCCUGUGUUUAUAUUACCUGGCUCUUCAAGCCAUGUGUUUCUCUUGUUUCUUGUUUAAACUGCCCAAUGACACCGUAUUUCCAACAUUAAGUAAUAUUAGUUUGAAUUGCUUGAUUUGAGCUCCACUUUUCUCUCACGCAGAAAGCCAAAGGAAUGUUUGUAACCUAAAAUAUUCAGUGAUGUCCCAUUACACAUUUGAUAACAGCUUUCCAGUUUGUGAACUGUUACCUCCUCUUUGCGUCUGGUGCUAGCCGAGCUUAAUAAACCAGUUCUUUUUGCUAUAGGCAGUACUCUCAUAUCAUAAAAAAUGCAGAAAUCUCAUUCUGGAGUUACUGCUCACUUUGACAUAAUGCUUUAUUUUCCUUUUGGUUCUCUCCUUUCCAUUUGCAAGCUUUGAGGUAAUGAUUUUUCUUGCCUCAAUUACUGAACAUCACCCCAUACAGAGAGAAAAUUCCAUUAACCGGGAUCUUUUUUACUACACUACUCUGAAAUUCUUUUGUCCACUUCUAAACCAUCUUCAUUUAAGCUCCCAAACCUCUUCUUAUUUUUAAGCUAUCACAAAUCAUUUAGCUAAUCUAAAUUAAGAUGCAAUAAGCACACAACCCAGUCACACAUCAUGACUUUUUAAAUUUAAUGUUUUGCUGAUCAAUUUAUUUCACUUUGCUUACACUUGCUGAAAGAUACUUUUUAGAUAGGAUGUAUUUUCUGAGUUGAAAAUGCUCCAGCACACACUUUUCUGAUGUGCCACGGAGCAGUUAGACCACACCAUGACUUACCACCAUGCUGCUACAUGACUAGUUUUUCUCCAUUAAAGCCAGUACUACGAAUUUGGCAGUGCUACUAUACUAUGACAUUCCCAUUAUGAACUAAAAUUGCUAAACGUAUACACUUUUGUAUUUGUCUGCUCGGUGACAAAGCUUUAAUGUGUUUGUCUUUAGGCUCUUUUUCUUGUUGUCUGGGGCUUUAGGGGAGGGUUUUCCCUAGCAGGUUUUUGGGUUUUUGUUUAGUUUUUGCUUACACUUGGACACAAGAGUUGGUCAUAAAUUCAAAGUGCAAACACUGGAAGGAAAGUAGGUCAGCACAAGCACCAUGUUUCACUCCUUUCCAAACACAGACCCAUCUCCAGCAUCAGCUGCCUCCCAAAAGCUCUCAAACUCCCAUAAAGGGAAUUCGAUAUCUCUAGCCCAUUAUUUUCAAGGAAAGCUCAGAUGCACAUUCAAUCUUGGCAACACUGAGCUUGGCCUGGACCACAAACAUCAAUCAGAAAUUUUAGUUACUUGGGCAUCUGCCUUUCCAGUGGCCUCUGUGGCCCAGGACAGGCUGGAGUCUUACCAACAGCAAUAAUACAAGUUCAGCAGUGAAACCCCCCAGAUCACUGAAAAAUGUACAUUUUUCAAAACACUAAAGCUUAUAUCUUAAUUUCAGCACAGCUGGUGUGUGAUUUUUUGAACAUGUGGGACCGACAUUUCUCAUUCCUACCCUUGUAGUGGAUCAACUCACCUGAAAUAGAUGGCAUACAUUUAUUUUCACUUGAAAUAGUGUUACUUAAUCUAAACAAGCUUGCUCCGUAAAUACUAUCUCAAACAUUGACAGGUGACACAGAAUGAGAUGGCUACUCAGACGUGAAAGGGUCAUCAGGGAUAAUUUCUUUUUCCCCUGUUUUAGAGGAUAUAUAUGUGCACACCAUAAUCUCAUAUAGCUGUCAAUAAUGCUUUAAUUUGGGAAGAGAAAUAGCUUUGAACUCCUACUGAGCAAUACUUAGAGAAUGAAAACCUUCAUCUCAAUGCCUCUGAAUUUUGCAGGCAUACCAAAUUGUGGCAGACACAAUUUACACCAUCCUGCUUGUCCCUAAAUACGUUCUGGUGAUGUCUGAAGUUCUGUUAGGGGUUGAUGUGAGACUGCUAUAACAUCAAUAACAGGCUCAUUUAUCCCCCUUCUGCAGGUCUGUCAACAUGGCUUCAGGUACAGACAUAUUCUUGGUUUACAAAAUGCAUUUUCAGAGACUGUUGGGGCAGUUCUGAGAACUCCAGGCAGAAAGGACACAGAACACACCGUGCUCAGGGACAGCCUGGAGUAAUUCAGAUAACAGACAUAGAGAUCCCUUGUUCCCUGAGAGAGAAAAUAUUUAUGCAAGAGGUCAUUAAAAAAUUUGAGGUGCUCUACCUGCAAGAUAGGUAACUGAUUUGGUCUGCCUUCCUGCAAUAUUGAUAUUUCAGACUGAGCUCCAGACCACACUUAUAGCUAUGACUAGAACUUUAAAAAGUGACAUCUGAAUGAAAAGAAAUCAGUUAUGGUUCCAAAUUUCCUUUUUUCUAUAGGCAUGAAAACAAAUAUUUAUUUUGCUUACUUUUCAUGUUACCUGCUCAGUCCCUGUUCUGACUGUAGGACUGUAGUGACGGGAGGGCCUCAGGCAGCAAAAGAAUUGAGAAAACUGAAGAAUAAACUGUAAAGAAGAGAACAGUCACAUCAUUAAUUAGCCCAGUGAGGUAAGGAUUGCGUUGUCAUGUUCCCACCUUUCCACCCAGUCCCAGAUCCUCUAUCCAGGCCUGGGAAGCUCAUCCUUCACCAUCCCACACCCUAAGAAAAACAGAUCACUCCUGACAUUUCCAAGGCACCAGCAGACUCUCUGGUCCCAGCACAUCACGCCAGCAGCAUCCGCCUCCUCCCACCACCGCACUUGCAGGCAGUGGUAGCUCAUGCACAAGAGAAAGUGCAAAGCAGCAGCUAAAUAGCAUUUUGUCUCAGCACUUUAAACUCUUUCCAAAGAUUUGCUAGUAGAAAAAAAACAAAGAAAAAUAUGACAACCACACAAAAGAUAUUUGCUUCUGACUUUGAGAAAGUGCUGGUGGUGUUUCUGUGGUAGUUUCUAACUACUGGUUUUGCAUGAAAACGCGUUCAUUGGGAUGACUUUGUACAGUAGUUACCUAGUUCUCAAAGCUGCCUUCUACCCUGGAAAUCACAGAAUAAAUAUGUGGCUACUAAGUGAACUAAUCAGCUUAUGAUUUAAUACAAAUGUGAGUGAAUGGCAAAAACUGUGGUCAGGCUGAAAAAAUCACCUCUACAGAUGCAAAUGUACUUUUAAAACACAUAUUCCCUUUUCCUUAACCUUCAUCUUAACAAGUAAGAGUUUACCCUUAAAGUUAGUGCUUACCUGAAGAUACUUCACUGAUUCUCUAAUUCUAAUUUCAUAGACAUUAAGUAAAGAAAUGCUUGUUUUGAGUCUAGAGUCACAACAGUAGCCAAGCCUGCACGUUCGAGCACCUGGAUGAGAAUUUUGCAUAAUAUUCAGGUAGGAAAACAAAUCUGCAUGUGUAAUACUGAAGUGAAAGGGAAUCUGUCAAACUAGUAUAUAGAAGCACUGGAUUAAAUCAAAUACAUUUGCAAUUCUUGUGACAGAAAAAGUAGAUUUAGAGUUAGAGCACAGGAACAUACAAGAAAGAAGCUUGAAUUGCUCCAGAUCCUGUUGCAGCUACUUGAUUCUCAAAGAGAAUAUGAUGUCUUGCUUCCAAACACCGCUCAACGCCCAUCAAACCACUUAAAUAAAACAAUCUCAUGUACAAAUGAAGGAAGAAAAAUAAUUCAAGUGUGAGGCACUGCUGAAGGAAAAGAUUUGGCUCCCAGUCAGGAAUCCGCUCAUCAGAAUUCAGCGCAUCCCUCUCACUGUGUAGCUGAAGUAACAGUAAAGGAUUGAAAUGACACAUACAUGGUUUUGGGGGCCCGUGGUUUUUAUUUUGACUGGCUGUGAUUUUUGACAUCAUGUGAAUCUCCCGGUGAUAGUUUCAUUAAAAAAACCACUGAAUUUGACCCUUUAUCAGCUCAUUAAUAUAUACCCUUCUCAGGUAUACCUAAACGUGUGUGCUUGGGACUGUCCGCUGGCGGCAAGAAAUAAUCCCGUUAGCGCCUACAAGUAAUACUUGCAGAUCACAAGCAAUACUAGCACUUCACCAACCCCUCUCUGAGGUGAAUGACAAGCUGAAACACAAUUAUUGCUGAUUUCUGCCACUAAGAGAGAACCGAAUAUGAUGCAUUCAGACACCCCAGGCUGGAAUUUAAUUUUUAAAUUAUACCACUAUGAGUCUACCUUACACCAGUUUAAAUUUCAACAAGCGCUGAAGAUCUGCCUUAAGAGGAAUAGUAGCUUGUUGGCAGGUACAUAUAUCUGAUGGCAGAAUAUGUUCCUCAAACAAUUAUGUCUUAUCAAAACACUCACUUAAAAUUUUACAUCGAAAUGUAUCAUGGGGCCCUUUUAAAACCCUCUCAUUAAUGAUGAUUAUGUAAGUACCAUUAGAUGUGAGACAUUCCCAUAUUGCUCGUAGGAGUUAUGAUUUAAUUCUAUUACAAGCUACUCCGCCAUUUGUAUAAUCACUCCUGACACUUUACCUUUUGUUUGGUAAAACAUUAUUGCCUGUCGUAGAGGGGAAAAAAAAGCCAACACCCAAAACAAAACCAAACUAUUGUCAUUGCAAUCUGAUUGAAAAGACGUUAUUAAUUAAAUGAUGUACACAGUUAUACCUGCAAACUCACUGGCAGCUCUUGGGAGAAGGAUAUAUUACUGGAAGACAGUUGUUAUUUAGGUCUCUGAGGCAACACAGACACACUAAUAAACCUUCCACACACAUUCCUGUGCAUCAGGCAGAUAUUAUUCAGCAUUUGUGGGGAAUAGUUUGGAUUUUCUUUGACCUGUAAUAGCGAUUAGCGUGGCUGAGCGUGGUCUGUGACUCCAGGAGCCACCACAAAGGAACACGUGCACUUGCUUUGUCUCAGUAGGUGAGACGGCAAAUACACAGGGAGCAGAACCAAGAAGUUGCUUCCCUCACAAGACACACCACACUGUUCUGGUUUAGUAGCUAGGCUGAGCUUUUUGCCAAAAGGAGACGGCAAAGACAUUUUAUCAAAGCUGGAAUUUUCAUUUUCCUUUUCUCAUGUUCCACGCAGGGAAAAUAUUCCUUUACAGAAUAAAUAAGUAGAAACAGCUGCAAAAUUCUAACUGCCUACAGCGAGAGUUUUGACCAAAUCUCUUAAGUAGCAGAAAGUUUCCUUUCAUAGAAGUUACACUGCUAAUCCUCCUACAUUAACACUAUUAUCUUCUAAGCAGAGAGAAGGUCUACUGCACAAAAAAGAGAAAAAUCUUCAGAAAUUAUUAUAAUAAACUUGGUUAUUUUUUUUCAGCAUUUUCAACUGUAGUUUUAUAGGAAAUAAGGAAUUUCAGCAAGAAAGAGGUUUUGAAAGUUCUUACCUUGGUCACAGAGGAACACGGUGAAUUAAAUUUUCCUUCUCUUUGAGCUGUGGCUGCGGCUUCCAAGUGCUUUGAAGGUAAAUGUGACAUGACCAGAGAUCAAAUUGCUUCGUAAGGAAAAGUUCAUCACAGUCAGGGUAACUGCUUAAAAUGCAACAUAAAUAAACAGGUCUGUGUCAAUAUUUUGACUUUGAAUAAACAAUUCAAGCUGUAUCACUCUGGAGAUAAUGACACAUAAUGCGGUAUAAAAUGCUCUGAAAGGGUUUUACUGAAUUAAUUUGCAUUUGAGUUCUGGAAAAAAAUGGGUCUGUGCAGUGGAAAAAUGUGAACUUGUGUGUUCCUGUUGAAUAUGAUCCUGACAAGGUCUGGGGCUUCCAAAAAGCAUCCUGGGAAAGGUAAAUCAGAAAAUAAUGAUUUUUCAGACCCUGGCCAGCAUUUAACCCAUUCACAGAGCUUCAGGAAUCGGUGCGUAUGACAGACUGGUAUAUACGAUUUUUGUCCAAGUAUAAAUGAGGUGUUUCUUACAAUUCUGACGCUCCACCUCUUUCUUUUUUUAGCAACAUCAGGAGUUCAAGUCUGGAAAGGACAGUGAUUAGUGUUUUCGAACUCUGCUAAUAAAACUAAGGGAAAGCAAUCUGUACAUAGGAGUUUAUUUAGAUGCCCACAAGUUUUAAAUCAUUCCCCUUUAUAUCUCAGCCCACUGCAUAUCUCAUCCAACUGAAUUACCAUUGGGUUUUACAAUGAUAUACAAAAUGAGCUGACAUUAUGAUUUACAAACAUCCUUUGAGUAUCAUAUAAAACACAACUGCUUCCCUUAUUAUACAAUCAUUAGGGCAAUGCAAAUAUAGUCAAUACAUUAGUAGCUGAAAAUGAUGGGGCAUUUUAAGAAAAUAAAUUUAGCUUUACCACACAAACGUGUUUGAUAAAACAAAUCCUGUUUAAAAAAUGGGAAUAAAGUUAUCUGAAUGAUUGCAAGUAAUUUCUAUAUUGUUUUGCCACUGUCCCUUUAUAAGAAACAUAAUAGUACUUCAUUUCAAAGACGACUAAUUUGUUCACUGUAUAGUCACACUUCAUUCUUAUUAAUCAGUUUCACAUUUUCUGCAUGAAACUAUGAAAAACUCACAAAUGUAGACUCUCCGAACUGCAGCCACUAUACUUAUUUAUUGCUGCAGUCUUUUCAUAUGCGUGUUCAAUUAAAUUAACAAAAAGCAAAAAAACUACACGAAUGAGCAGAACAAAACACAACAGCACGUUAAAAGUUGACAUUUCAGCUGCAGAUGCCAUCCUUGUAGAAUUAUAUUCUUGUUCUAAUGCCACAAACCUUCUAGCCUCAUGAAAAAAUAGACAUUAGCUGAAGAGAAUCUAAACUCUAACCUCAAUUUAGAGCUAAGAGUUUUGAUUUGUAUUUAUGUCUAAACGUAGGUACUAAACAACACUGUGUGCACAGGAAAUUUAAAACUGAAGAUGUUUUUAAUGUCGUGAAAUACGAAAAGAGAAAAAUCUGUUUCUGAGUUGUUAAUUGGGUAAUACAAGUUACCAACUGUUAGGGUCUCGUGUCCCGCGUGUCGCUGGUGCUUCUGCAGUAACUGAGACUGGCAGACAUCGCUAUUAUACUGGAAAUACAAAAACAAAGCAAAACAUUCUGAACUCAUCCAUGAUGUAACAAUUGAAAGCAAAUUCUAACCCAGACAAUUUAAAUUAUGAGGGCCUCUCGCUGUUUUAUUACUGCCCAAUCCAGAGGGAUUAUAAACCCUUUUCCAACACUUGCAUUUUCUCUUGCAAAACAGAAUGCUGACAAUGACCGGUGAUUCUUUCCUGACUAUGUGUUGAAUUGGCAGCGGAAUGUGUUUUUAGUUCCAUUUCUCACUAUAGGAAUCUUGCUGCUGCUCCACAUGUUUGGAGAAGAAAGUGCUUUUUUUGCCAUUUCACUAUAUUCAUGGCAUUUAUUUGUAUAAAUUUUUAAGACAGACUUAUUUUGAUUACUUCCAGUCUGUCCAAUCAAAUAUACCUUUGAAUGCUUUAGAAUGUUGGACAGCUGUGAAAUAUAAGUACUAUGUAAUUUGACUGUACAUACAUACAUAUUUUCAUAAAUACAUCUGACAGGGACCUUGGAACUAAGUAUGUGAUAUCAUGGGACAAAACCACAACAGGCUGUCUUAUUUGUAAAAUCUAGAUUCAAAGUAAGAAGAGCUGAAUUCUAUCAUGUUGUCAAUACACAAAUUAAAACAAAAAUACAGCAUUAGUUUACCCAUGAAAUAAGUUAAACAUGUUUGCAAAUGUCUCGACAGGAAAAGUGUGUCAUUUACAACACUGGAAACUUUUAACAACCAUUGACUUCUAUGCGCUGUACUGUAAGUCACCCGGACACGGCUAGCAAGGAUGAGCAUAGUGAAAGGUCCCAAAGGCAACUCCCAAACAUCUUCCUCAUGCGGAGACUUUGGUAAUUGUCUGUUGUAUAAAACGCCAACGCACAACAACUUCAUUUCAGGUGUUCGCUUCCUCAGUUUUGCUCCCUCGGCACAGUCCAGUCUGACUACGUCAGUUGUUGGUGAGACACUCUAGAUCCACCGAGCAGCAGACGUUCCCGUUCUGCACAGACAGACAAGCGGGUGUCAAUCGCCUCCGCACAACAGGGCACAAAGAGCAAAGGGCUCGGUGGCACGAAGGAAUAGAUACAUCUCUGACACAUCUACCGCAUACAAAAACCUGCUUAAGCCAAGGUGUGGCUUUUUGAGGAGGCUCUUUGCCAAAUAACACCAAGCCAACCUGAACUAGAAACCUGGAUGGGAAAGACUCAGUGCUCCCCACACUAAAAUACACAGCAACAACGGCAACAGAGAUUAUUUUAUCUUUUCUCCCAUGCAAGAAAGUUAAUGGAGUGACUUUUUGAUGUGAUCCAUGGAGGGAAACUUUCUGUUUGUCUGAAAUAGGCAGAUAGUUCAGAUUCUUAACUCAUGGCAGAUACGUAUGAGGAGUGGGAAACAUAUGGCUUUGGAGUUUAAUCCACUGUUAAAUAUCUGUCUGCUGCAACCAGUCAUUUACAAAACUAUCUUGUGUAUUUAAAACUACAGCAACCACCAAAACCCUAAAUGAGAUAUUUUGUUUUUUCCUUUUUUUUUUUUAUUAAAUCCAACACAAAGAACAGUAAAAACUCUGAAGAACAGCAGAAAAGCUACCUUCAAUAAUUUAAAGCCCUGGAGCAACAGCUUGGUUUCCCACAGUGAUCAGAAGAACAUUUUAUGAAAUCCAACACAACAUCAUAAUUCUGAUAUUAGCGCAGUGGGGACAUCACUGCACAGAGCAGACAGGCUGCACUUCUGCAUUAAAGCCAUCGCAUCAAACACGUCUCGAGGAGACCAGGGAACAGAAACCAUGAGGUUCCCUUCCCACUUGUGUUGUGGGAGUGCCUUCAUCUCUGAGCUGCAAUGAGCUUCUACUUGUGUACUCGAUGGUGAAACUUUUAUUAGUGUUUUUGCCUCUGCUUACUAGCUCUAUAAAACACAGCACAUUAGGCAAUUAUUAAAAUAUUAGCCUAAAUUCAUACUGAGAAUGCCUGAAGGGCUCUCCGGCAGAAUGUCUGAAAGUUGCACUAGAAUAUUACAUGUUUGUGCUCAACAUCUUCAACAAGCACAGGAUGGUUUUAUUUCCACCCUGUGAAACACAAAAGCUGUGGGUUUUCUGUAGGCUUCUGCCCUUGGGUCUCAUUUGGUUCCCCAAAAUCUGAAUGUGAGUUUCCGAGGGUGGAAAGUGACCCUGAUUUUAUGCAGCAACACACAUUUCCACUGCCACCCCCUUGCCCAGCGUACCUUGCAUUUGCAGGUUGUACAAGGAGAUCCCACCAUUGUCCAUACAGCGCCGCUGAGUCUUGUGAUUCCAUAACCAUCUAGGCAGGUUUUCCUGAUGUCGUAGGUGAUGUUGUCAGCCAGACAGGGGUCAGUGACGCAGUGGGGACAACACUCCCCGUCUGAGAUGGCUGUGUACUCGCAGUUCAGAUUCGGGCACAGAAGAGGCCAACAAUCCACCUCUCCUUCCUGUUAAAAUUGAAGCAAAGCUCAUUCAAUUUGUUGCCACUCAUUAACUACCACGAAACUUCAUAUCCUGUUGAACAGAAAAGUUUUAUCUUGCCAAAAACAAAACAAACACGAUGGAUCGACUAUCAGUUUGGUUGAUCAUAAAAAUGCACGUUUGAAUACUGAGAUGAAGUUUCCUAAACGUAGCAAACUAUCAUUUGCUUGUUUCUUGACUAAAUAACAACACGGUCAUCAUCAUAGCAGGGGAACUUGAGUUCUGUGGGGUUUUUAAAGGCAGCAUUAAAUCCCGGGUUCCAAUAUUCACCAUAAACUUAUUUUUGCAGUCAUUGCCUUGCAGACUCAUGUACUCUUUCUACGCAUGGUCACAUAAACAUCUCUGCGGGAUCACAGCAACUGUUUAAAUAGAGAAUUAACACAGCAUAUAGAUGUAGGUUGGUAUGUUCGAGCAGCACUGGACAUUGAUCUAACAAGCAACAGCCAAAAUUGAUUUUACUGUCAACUCCUAAAGGAAUUGUUAGAGCCACACCAGUUAUGUUCCACUGAGUCAUUUUAGUUUGUUAUUUAGCUUUGUGAAAAAAAAAAGCAGUUUAGUAGACAGAAACAUGGAGAAUAGAAGAUCAUCGGGUCACUUCUGUGUGUGUCUAAACUCAAGCUGCGAAGGGCUCCAGUAACUUGUAUUACGCUACUCUGUGAGCACUUUGGGUGCUGGUAGCAUCGCCCACUGCACAGAACCUCACGUGCACAACUGAUUGACGGCAUCACCGGUUUUUAGCACUGUAUGUUAACCCAAUCAUAAAAUUAGGCAAAGAACUGCUAGCCGCAAGCUCAGCAUCCCUUGUAAAACAUGUCACAUCUAACACUUGCCACUGCUGCUGGCUGCAAAUGUUUCUUGCUGUUCUUUCGCAAACACUAAAAAAACAAUCUUAGGAGAACACAAAAUACAAUACUUACUUCUGUACGUUAUGGAUAAUUAUCUCUUCACAGUAACUUAGCUUUGAAUGUAAUUUGUUUCCUGAUGCUCAGACACCUCUUGAUUAAUAUCAUAUAUAAAGAUGACAUUACACAGACAGCUAUAAAUGGAAAACUGAUAAUUUUAAUGAAGUUCAUUGCUGCACUAAUUAGUGUAUCUGUGCAAAACUUAAAGCUUUAGGGAAAUAAUCCACAGUGCCUAAUGAGAAAAUAAAUGUUCUUUAUUUUGCAUGUUUGUCUAGUAAUUUCAUUUUCUUUACCCUUCUUUUUUUGGUUAUUUUUUGCUAAUUCACCACGUGGCACUGACACCCCAUUUUUCCAGCAUUUGCUGAAUGAAAAAAUAUUAAUUUUAUUGUCCUUUUGGGUAAAAUAGACACAUUAAAAGCUGAAACUCCUCCAACCAAAUCUAUCGGAAGGUAAAAAAAAUUUGUUAAGUUGCUUAAAGAUCAGACGACCUUAUAAAAGUUCUCAAAAGUAGACUAGUGCUAAAGUUAAUAUAGUGUCAAAGCUUCUACACUUUUGUCAAGCUUUUCAUUUUGCUCAUUAGACCCACUUAUUCAGCAGCAAGAGGAAAACUGAUGGUGUGGCUUUCAGUUCCCUGGUGCUCUGCAAGUGCUUUAUCAUCAUUCCCAGUCUGAAAAGCAGGCGAAGAGAGAGCCAAGAGUCUGCUUCCAGGUAUACUUUGCUAAAAAUCAUAAUCCUUAUUAUUUUCUCUCCCUUCCGAAACGCCUUCCCCGUACCAGGCAGCGGCACUGCUGGCAGCUGUAGGUCCAGUUGUCCCCGCUGCGGUAGAGCUUGUGCCCAGUCUGGUCGAGGCACUGGCUGGUGACACGGGUGUCGCACUCGGGGCAGCAGAAGAGGUCGGCGCUGGGGUUCUCGCAGUCGCAGGCUGUCCUCCGGCAGAAAAUCCUCCCGUCCUGCGAGGACACAUUGCCCUGAUGUCAACCACAAACUGCCAGACAGCAGCCCGGAUAAGGUCACAGGUUAUGUAUAUAUAUAUAUACACACAUACCUAUAUAUAUAUAUAUAUAUACACACACACACACACAUACCUAUAUAUAUAUAUAUACACACACAUACCUAUAUAUAUAUAUAUACACACACACAUACCUCUAUAUAUAUAUACACACACACCUAUAUAUAUAUAUAUAUACACACACACCUAUAUAUAUAUAUAUACACACACAUACCUAUAUAUAUAUAUACACACAUACCUAUAUAUAUAUAUACACACACAUACCUAUAUAUAUAUAUAUAAAUAAAUAUCAAAAGGUACAUCUUUCAUAUCUUAUUGGCUACAUCAACAAACUCUUCAAGCAGUUGCCACUCUGAUACAUGUAAUACUUAUUUAGCACUGUUUUAACUGACUGUAUCACUGUGCAGAAUUUGAAUAAAUAAAUCAAACUUAUGAAGGUAGUCUCUUUAACUUCAUCUGACUGCAAUAUAGCAAAAUCACAAUAGCACUCAUCAUUCUUCACCCUGAAUUCACCACUGGUUCUGUUCCACAUCUGGACCUACAGUACAGCAGCUUAAAGCUAAAUGGACCUAUCAUCAUCCGUUAUAAUUCAGUUCAUGUAUUAAAGAGGGCCUUUGUUCCACAGGUUCUCCAAAAUAUGAUUUUGUUAAAUAUUUGCUUACAAUAUUGGAUGACUCAUUUUGUUAAAGACCAUUAAACAGAACUGUUUGAGAUAAACAAAGAAUUGUUUCUGUAUGUGAAGGGAAAAUAAUAUAUUCUCUUUGCAUCACAGCAAAACAAAUUGAUUCUAAUUCCAGUUAUGAAAAUUGGACAGAUGAUCGUGUUUGAAAUUAUAUCUCUUACUGUAGGUGAGCCAACACAAUGAUAUGCCAGAGAGAACUGAAAUUACAGUUAACAAUGAGGAGACAUUCACUUCUUUUGCGUUCAGUGUGUUAUUGGACUCGUCUUUACUCAAGCAAAGCAUCUCCUGCAGCCAGUUUGAAGGUAGAGCUGUGGGAGGAAUGAAGCUAUAUUCUGCUUUGGAUCACAACCACACAAUUCCUAAAGCAACUCCACUCAUUUCAUUGCAGUUUUUCCAUAUUCUCAUCAUAACUUUGUUCUGAGUCUAUAAACUUGUACAUGAUGUAAGAAGGAAAAGUUUUAUCAUUGCCGCCAAAUAACGGGCGACUUAUCAAAGCACAGGAUUUCCUCUGGAUCCUUUUAAAAACGGAUUACUAAAGAGUGACAGCAACCCAGGAUGUCUUCUCUGCAGGCAGACAAAACAGCUAUCACCACAGCAUGUAGUACGGGAGGUUGUUUUGUUUGUAUUUGCAUGCAGGAAUCUGUGUUUGGCAAAGCCAGGCUUGGCCACAAGGCAACACAUACAUAAUCAGCAUCAGGGAAUCGCAAUACCCACGUCAGUCAGUGUCACUGAUGCAUUUCAUCAUACUUUGGAAUUGAUUAGACUAUCAAUUUCCGUUGUAAGAAAAAUUAAAUUUAUUCCUUAUGUUUAACAAGGAAAGCUGAAGAGAACACGGAAUUACGGAAGCGUAGAACAUAUGCUAGGUUAGCAUAGGUCUGAACUGCUUUUGCCAACCACAGGGCAUAAGACUAGACUGCCCUGCAGUAUUUGUUCAGUUUUGUAUCAAAUUGAGAUAACUAAGGAGUGUCUGCUCAUGGCUAGUUUUCUGCUUCAGCUGUGGGAGAAGGAAUAGACAAGCUUUAGUUUCUUACUCAGCAGUUUGAAUAAUCAUAAGAUAAGGAAGACUGGGUUGGAUGGGACCUUCAGACUCCUCCAGUGACACCCCUGCCGUGAGCAGGGACAUCUUCACCAGCUCAGGUUGCUCAGAGCCCCGUCCAAUCUGACCUGAGAUGUCUCCAGGGAUGGGGCAUCCACCACCUCUCUGGGCAACCUGGGCCAGUGUUUUACCACCUUCAGUGUAAAAAAGUUCUCCAUCUCUAGCCUGAUGGUCAAUUAUGACUAAAUCUCCAUUCUUAGGGGUUUUUCCCAUAACCAUCCUCCACCCUGCACUGCGGAACAGACAUCAACAGCAGCUCCGCACAGAAGCUCUGCCAGGCUGAGCAGCUCCAGGUUGUGCCAGGGUGUCCGGGCAACCAACAUCCUCGACAAUGUCAGUCUCUCUCCUUUCCAUAAUGGAGAGCUGAUUAAUAACAGCUAUCAAUAACCUGUAUGCCUUGUUCCAAUUCAGAUUUUGAGCUUUCAAGAUUAGUUUUAAAAUUCUCCUUUCAGCUGGUGACAAUGCUGGUAGUUCUGUGCUUCUCUGAGCUCCCGUGCUCUUGCCUCUGGGGAGCAGCUAACCUUUUACGUUGCCUUUACCCUCCGUAUUCCAGAACGUUGACAAAGCCUGACAAUUUUGCCUGAGACCUUUUGGUAACCGUAAUACACUGAUACUCUAUUCUUUAGCAACUGUGUUUUAUCUACAACCUCAUUAGUUCCAUGCCUUUCAAAAUAUAUCCAUACGCUGCAGUGACACAAAGCCUCUUAAGCUACAUGUCACUUGCAUCUUUGCAGUUCUGUAGUAGAAUUGAGAAAUAUAGAGAAAAUUGGGAAAUAUACAGAAAGCAACUUACUUUCUCUCAGUGGGUAAUCACAUACAGCAUAUUAGUAGCACCUCUCCAUCCCCGCCUUUCUCACUGAAUCAGUUCUACACGCUUCCUAAAAAUCAGCGGUAAGAACACAAAGUUCUUCUGACCAAAGAAAAACCUGACGCGCAUGGAAUUGCUGUAAAGGGUGAGUCAAGUUUCCACAAGCCCCAAGGCCAAUUUGGACAGAAAUCAGACCCUGCAGAAACCAAACCACCCAACCGCUCUCACCAUCAGGAACAUCUUCACCUCAGCACACGCCCCCAUUGCCUGUGCUGUGCUUAUCCCCAGGCUUUUUUCAGACUGGAGGGGUGUCUUUAAAAUUAGAAGACAGACUCAAAAGCCCAGAUAUAGCCAGACUAUACAGCCAGGCUUAGUUUUUGCAUGGCAGAGAGAAACAGCUCCCAGCUCCCCAUCAAAUUUUUACCAGACUUGUGUAUUAAAUCCACAGUGGUUCAGGAAAAUUCCUGUAGAAGAUACAUCAAAUAUACUUAAGGUACUGUAUUAAUUUAUAGUUUUAGAAUUUGUUUUCAGAAACUUUAUAUUUACUCAGACGAACGAGGAUGGUUUGAAGAGACUGGGUCUGAUGAAACACUGAAAUAAUCCCCUGUGCUUCCAUAAUGACAUUUUGUUUCAUUAUGUAAAUGAAGUAAUAUAAUUUCUUAUACUCCAUAGUAUCAUACUCCACAAAGAACAAGUUUCAAAAGUUAAGGUAUUUCAUUUCCCUUACACCAGAUUUUAAGUUAAAACAUAUUCAAGACGGGAACUAUGCGUUUCAGCCACUGCACAAAAUACAUCCAUCUGACCUUUCCUAAAAUAACCAUAACAAAAGAAAAGCCAAAAGAAAACACAUUGUUUCGAAUCCGAAAUGCUGAUUUGUGAGUAGGAUCGUUUCAAAGUUUGAGUAAGGAGUACACAGAAUGAUUUAGUUACACUCUGCCCUUUUCCUCACUGAAAACCGAGGCGGCCGCAGAAAGGUCGCGCGGGGCCGGCUCCCCGUGUGGCGGCAGCAAAAUAGGCUUCAAUACCAUAUUUCAACAAACACCGAGAGAAGACUUUACAUCCUGUCUGGGAUAUAAUGGAGAAGUAGGUCUCCCUGUUUUCCCUGACAAGAGUUUGGCUCUUGAAACAAGGCAGCAACUGGAGUGAAAUUGAAUGUGUUGUUAAUUCACAUGGGAAAAAAACCUGCAAAGUGAGGAAGAUAUAAAGGAAGAGUCAUAGCAACAAACAGUGUCAGGCCUAGUUUAAAAUAUCUACAUACUAGUUAAUCAUUUUGUAUAUUUUCAGAUAUUAAUAAGAACAUCCAACAUAAGAAAUAAGUCCAAUGAGAAAUGGCAAUAAAGCAAAUCACAAGCAAUCUAAAAUGGGAAUACUAAUAGUCGUAAUUCUGCAAAGGCAGACCAGAUGUCUUCACAUAUAUUAAACUGUUUAUUCUAUUGACUGGAAAUCCUUUCAUAAGGCAGCCACUUCCCCAAGAUUACAAUAAAAGCUUGAUAUAUAUUCAGCAGAGUUGCACACUUCAGCUUCUGAAGGGAGGAGUUUUAGGGAGCUUGAGGCUACUUGAAGUAAAAAAUAUAGCAAGUAACAAGAACAUAUUCCCUUUUGAGCUCCAAACAGCAGCGUACUUUGCAGGUUCUAUUCACUCUAAAAAUCUUCAUUUUCCUUUCUGCUAUAUUAUUGCAAUACAGAAAUUAUGAGGCUUUCAGCUGCUUGCAACUUCAAAACAACUCUUCCCCCCUGUGCCUCCCAAACCCUUUAAUGCUUCCCUGGCUCAGCAGCAUUAAGACGUGGGGACUGAAAGGCCACUUCUCAUGCUGUAUGUUCAGUUUUUCACAGUGGACAAAAUCUCAUUUUUCCUGGACUUAAUGCAAGGGCCAAUAAUGCUGAGCUGUGCCUAAGGCCAGCCCCACCGCUGCUAUCAAUGCCUCAGGUCACAGCGGCCAUAAAUAUCAGCCGUUGCUCAGAUUGGUACAUUCCUAAAAUUCUUCAAAGUUCAAUGACAGCACUCAUCUUCUAAUUAGUGAAAACGAAGAAAGGAGAGGUAAAUGUUCUUUUAGAUUAGUUACAACACUCAGAAAAUAACUACUUAUUUCCAAGGUGGGCAGGGAGGGAAACAAACCAUAAAACAAACAAAACGCUGAUUUAAGAGUUAACGAUAAAGGAGAUCUACUUAUACUACACGUGGCUUCUCCAAGGUGCAGAGAGAGUUGCAUUGCACAACUGGGAGAGCUGUCACCACAGUCGAGCUGGGAUGAGGAGGACAAAGCUGCUCUUCACCCUUCUUCAUUUGAGGAAUUAAGCGCCUGCUGCCAGGUCCUCUAAACCUGGACUCACACUCAGGGCCUUACUUCUCACCCCGUUAAUUCACCUGCAUUCCAAGUCAAGGGAAACACCACCAAGAGGAACAUGGUUGACUGCAGCGCUUGUCCUGAGAGAUGUGUAUUCAAGUCAAACAGAAAUUGAAAACAGUUUUCAACAUUCUCAGAAGAUUUCCCCAUCACAGAUUCAGUGCCCACAGCAGAACUUACCUGUUGCCUCAGUGCCCUGGGCUUGUAUUUCUGCCAACACCGUGGAAACACUGGGCAUUAAAAGACUCCUGAAACCCAGCCCAGCUGGACCUCACCUUGCAAGAGCAAACGGAGCAUCUGUCCUCCCUCAGGGUCCACACCUGCCCGUUCCGCUUGAAGCCGCCUUCGUGGGGACAGUCUCCAGUGCAAGAUGGUCCAGAUGGACAGAGGCAAUCGAACCCUCCUGCCAGGUUCACGCAGGCGGAAUCGUUCCAACAGGUGUGGGUCUUUAAGGCACACUCAUCGAUAUCUGCAAAACAGCAGAUUUAUAAUGCUUUGCACAUCUAUUUUUUUAUCACAGGGAAAAUUUUAUUUCUGUAUUAAAUAAUUACCACCCAUCUGCCUUGCUGGUAGAAGAGGGUGCCUUCUUUCUGAUAUCUUCCAUGUUUACUUGCUAGAUAUUAAACACUCAUUUAUAUAUAUAUAUAUAUAUAUACACACACACAUAUUUAUAUAUGUAUUGUUUAGGUUAUUCUUCAGUGUUUGUUUUGGUUUUGUAUAUAUGAUUUUGCAGUGACUGGAAACUAGUAAAUAAGCAGAGUGACUUUCUGUCAGCUAAACCAUUCCCUGUGCUGGAUUUUACACCAAAAUAGAAGGGCACUAUACUUCCUAAGUUCUUGGCAUAAUCAACAUUUCCCAUAAUAAAAGUGGUCAAUUUUAUACUUUUCCCAUUGCUGAGAGGUACAAGCGAAUGAAAAAAACAGAAAAGAAAGAAAGAAAUCAGAGAAUGAAGUCAUGGAGAAUGAAAUUAUGGAGAAAAAGUAUGAUUUAGCAAUGACACAAAUAAAUAACGAAAGAAAACCAUUAUACACUAGAGAAAAGGGAAAUACAGCAUCCCAUUAAAUUGCUUUUGGGGGAUAAAAUAUAAUUAUGCAAUAUGAAUUUAUCUAGGGUUUUGUGCAGCGAAAGUCAUAAGAUUUUCAAGCACAUUAUGAAAAACAAGUGUUUCUUUCAGAAAAUAACUUUGGGCUGUUCUUAAACAACAUAUUGAGGGAUUGUCCAGAGAAAAUACCAGUAAAUGGGUAGGUCUGUUUUGUUCCAACAUGAACAAUGAAACCAAAGCAACAGUGGGAGGAAGAGUGGAGAAGAAAAUCCUUUAGAAGCAUGCGAUGGUUUCUAUCACAAAUAUUCCAGAACACUAUUAUAUUAAUUCAGAAACUACAAGGAAGAAUCCUCACCAUUUAAAAUUAAUUGCUAGUGUGAAGUUUUUAACUCUUCAAUAUUACUCAAGAGUACUUUUAAUUCCGUUCUGAAACACCACAUUUAAAAAUUCAAUAGAGUUUACAAAGAAAAUUACUUAAAGUUCUGAUUUAGGUGGAUGUGAUAGCCAGUUGCCAUGAGUUCAACAAGUCACCUCCUCAGAAAACCAGAACUUUAAAAGAUGUUAAAAAUUCUCUCAAUCCGUGGAAGGAAACUCAAUAGCAAUCAGAUCACUAAAUUCCCUUUGAGCUGGUUAGUAAAAUUCCUAAUGUCAAUGGAUAAAUAGUCCGGGAACACUUGGAUUUGAUCAAAUGUGAUAUCAGCUGGCACAACGGAGCCAGAGGAGCAACUGCCGCUCCUCUUUGUGCCCAUAGACCCAAAGGGGAGCUGGAGGCAAUUCCACUGCAGAAGCUUCAUCCCAGGCUGAGCUGUGGGCCAGUCCUUUCUCAGACACGUUCCCAGGGGCCUGAGAGCUCGAUUCAAUUGCUCAUCGCUCAGGCUUCCUGAAAAAUGGUCUAUUUUGCUGCCCUGACUGUCUCAAUUGCCAAGAAAUAACAUUAUUGCUCUAAUGUGUAGCUUAAUAGUACUGAGUACUUGAAAGGGCCACUAAAAGGUGCUGAACUCAGAGAAAUUAAAACUUGUAGUGUAUUGUUUAACAAGGGCCAGAGUAUCACAGGAGGUAAAAACCAUUAGGAGCAACAUGAAGAGAACUAUGAACAGGCUGCUAUUAAAUGAAUUAUACCCAAACAGCUACUUUAAAUAUUCUUUAACAUAUCCCAUUUUCCUUUCAACAGACUAUGACUUGUAUUUAUCAACAGUCUCUUCCUCAUCAUAUUAAGGGCUCCUUGAAUAGCAUACAGAUAUAUAUAUAUAUAUGCAUAUAUAUAUGGGAUGUAGCAGGAUCAUGGUGCAAAUUAGAAGGGUUGCUCUCACAGUUCAAAACUAAAAGGAUUUCACAGAUGAAUAUAAAGCCAUAUUGCCUACAGAGUUCCAUGUAAUUGCUUUACUUAUGACACAGAAAUCUAAUUCUGUUUCCAUGUAAUUUAACAGAUUUAUGGAAAGCCAGAUGUUAGCAAUUACUAGAAACUAACAUUAUUCAUAUUCUCAGUAGCACAGACCUGUUCACACUGCACAAAGCCAACUUAAUCUGUUAUCCAUAUCCAAAAGGGAAGAACACCCUAUUUACGAACUGCUACUGCUGUUCUCCAUUUAGCACACAUAAAAAGGAUGCUCCCAUUAAGAGCAGCCCAAACUGGUAAAUGGGACGUUCCUGACAAAGAAACCAAUCAAGCAGAGCUGAGUAACAUAGCGUGAACAUAAAUUCCUAAUUGCUACUCAGUUUGCUCAUUUUUUUUUGCGUUCUUUAUGCAAAUGAUGGUUUCUUAUUAUGUUAUGGCAUUUAUUAUUUUAAAGUUUUAGUCAUUAAUCAAAUACAAAAGGCUGGGAUACUGCACUUACUGCCAGCUGAACUUUUAAUAGAGCUAAUUUUCUGAGAACAUCCCUUUGGCAGUUUUUUCUUGUCGCUGAUUGCAUUUCUAAAAGUCAGAACAAACAGCCGAUGUUCCCAGUCACUUGAGGAAAAGAAGUUAUAAACCUAACAAGUUUUUGUCCCUCUCACUCUUCCAGCCUCAAACCAGAUGGGGAGGGGGAAGAAAAGAAUCCCCUGGCAAAAUCUCCCUUAUUGUCAGUCCCCAGUUAGCUUGAGAAAGUAUUUCAGUUUAGCAGAUAUCAAAUGAACUUGUUCAUAUUGAUACGAGAUCGGCAAAACACUGAAGAAAAUAUUCAUAUUUAGUGUGAAAUUUCUCUUAAGAACUGGAAUUAAUGUGUCUACUUAGGUGCUGAAAUAUUAGCCUAGUUCAAAAUUCUGAACAUGUCCAAAACAAUCUUUUAAUGAAUAUGAAAAUUCUAUUAUAAGACUCUUGCAUAUAGAUUAUUUUUAUAUUAUUCAAAUCCUUGCUCGUCUCAAAUCCCCCACACUCCCAUCAGGUUUCAUUGCCUUUUCCACAACUGCUCUCAGAAGAUGGGGGCCCAAAACUGGAAUGUUUAAUGAUGGCCAAGGCAAAACUCCACUAUAACAACACUAGUUAGGAAGAAGAUUAAAUAUUCAUUUAUAAACCAAGCAGCUUUGAAGAACAAUGGACAAGUACAUUUAUGAACUAGUAAGAAGGCUCCAUAGUCUUUCCAUGCAUAUGACACAAGAACAAGAUCUCUGUCUUGAUUUUUGGGGGAUUAGUUCAUGUAUCCUGUCAGCCUGUGCAAACGCAUUUUCAGCCCUGAAAUAGGACUUUGCAAUCUUAUUAAUUAUAUUGAGAUAAUGUGUGUCAGACUCCUAAUUAAUCCAAAUACAAGUGGCAGAGCUUUACUUGCCCCCUCCACACAGUUCCUUUUCAAGGAAAAAUAAGAAUACAGUAGAAAUAACCAUAAUCAGAAUCUUGCUUGUAACGCCAACCUUAUGCUAUUUUCUAUCAACAGCCUACAGCUGACAGCAAAGUGACUGUUUCCAAGCCAUGUCGCCUCAAAUAUUGCACAGGACUAUGGUAAAACUGAUCUUCACUCUUCAAACACUCCUAAUCUCUGCUGCUUUAAGCAAAUGUACAGCAACAAGUACCUGAUCAUAUGAAUUUUAGCCACAAUGCAACUUAGUGAGUCACACUUUGUGGAUGGGAAAAGAAAGAAAACCAACCACCCAAGACGUGCUCAUUUCCCAAUAUACUCUCAAAAUAUAUAAAUAUAGCCUGGUAAUGUGGGCAGACAAAAAAUCAGAACCAAAAUGGAACAGAAUAAUCCCCCGAGAUGCAAUUUCCUUUUCCAUCCUUUUUGGCUGUAAGGAGAAGUAAUUUGCCUCAGAUAUCAUGAGAGGUCCCAUGGCCACGGUAUUUGAAUGGGGUAGAAGACAAGCAUGACUGUACAUAUCAACACAAGUUCAUUAACUUGGCUUCACUGAAAUUUUAAACCAAUCCCCAGCUACUUCAUUUCUUCUUUUCAAGGCUAUUCAGGUUUUAAGGGUAUGACAUUUCUAUAGCACCUUAAUAAAUGUGUGCAAGCAAGUCAUGCAGAGUGCUGCUCUGUAAUAUCAUGAUAAGCUGUAGCAGAAGAAAGAAUCCUACUAAUGUGCUAAUUUUAACUGUUAUGGUACAUUAAACCAUUACAGUAUAACGUUAACGUGAAAAAUGUAUGCUGGGCUCCCAAACCAAUGUAUGUACAAGUUAACUAAACACUGUUUUGACAUAUCAUUUUUCACAGGCAACUUGCUACUUAAUGUAUUUGCCUUCUUUCUAAAUCAAAGUGACUGGGACUCAUCUUUGAAGAAAAACCAAAACACUAAACAGAUUCAUUUUUAGUUAGAAAAUAUUUUAUGAUAGUACUUUUAUUCUACAGAGACAUAAUGGUCUAUUAAAGAACAUCGCAUAGUAAAUUAGUUUCUGAAAACAGGAUUUACUAAUGCUUUCUAGAAAAAUAGAAAUGACUAAACACAAUUACUUUGAAGGCAUGUAAUGCAACUUUCUUUCAGAAUACAAGAAUCAGAAAUUACUAAAUACAAAGUAAGCAAGAUAAUUUCUAUUUUGCAGGAUAAAAUCCACAGACACUGACUCUGGUAUCAUGAGCUUUAAGAAACCCUCUGAGCAGAAGCAAGCUGUAAACCAGCAGGUUCUAGAGUUGGUGUUGGAUGCUUUGUUCCACACACAAGCCUUUCUGUCUAUGUCCCACUUCGCAAAGGAUAGAUAGAAAAGCAACUCUCAGGCAUAUAAGAAGAUUUUCAAAGGAUGAGUCUGGCUCUUAGUGUGUCACAGAAAGGGGCCAAAAGUAACAAAGAACAAACCUCAGUUUCUCUGUCUUUCUAAUCCAGGUAACAGCCAACACUGCGGCACACUAUGGAGUGUAUGAAAGCUUCAAGAAGUGAGUUUAAACCACAUUUACCCCUCACCCUGGAGCAUUGUUGCACCCACUGGCUGUGGGCACUUGACACACGGGGAGUUUUCUCUCUCAAGCUGCUACUCGGACCUUUUUUUCCAGCCUUUACUUCCCCACUAACCCUGCAGAGAGGUUUAGCUAUGCGACCUUUCAGGAUAAAAACUGGGGUGAAUCUCGUGGGGUUUUGGUUGGAGGAAGAUCUGUGUUAAGCUUUGCUACAAAACGUGCACGAUUCUUAAAAAAUAGUAAUAAUUCAAAAAAUCAACAACUGACAGGGUUGUUCUUCCUUCCGUGCUUGCAAGUCGCAAUGUAGAAGACUCAGAAACAUGAAACAUCGUGGAAAAAAAACAGAAUGAGGAAUCCUGCAUGCCAGGGUCUGAACAGCUCUCUCCAGAGCAGAAAUAUCUCACUUAGAGAUGGAGAUUUAAAAGUAUAAUUUCAUUUGCUUUUAUUUCUCUGCUGUAGGUAGAAUGAACUUUGUGGGACAUUAUUAACUUCCCAGAAUCCAGCAUUUCUUUGCGAGUUUUCCCCUUCUUUUUUCUUCUGGUAAUCUUAAAUGUUACCACUGAAAAUUCAGUGGUGAGAAUUUAUUCAAUAGUUACCUUAUGACAAGAAGUAUUUGGCAAAAGGCGGGGAAAAAGCAGGGGAAAAACAAUAUAUACCAGUUGCUUCAAUAUGGUAUCAGUAGAUGGUAGUUAAUACUGGGAUAUGUAUCAUAUGACAAUUCAUAGUUCUCUAUAAAGUGGUUUUGUUUGUUUACCUUAAAGUGUAGCAAAGCUUUUAUUAAAAAAAAGGUAAAACACAACACAGCAACUAUAGCCUACAAGUUUUAAUUGCCAAGCAAACUUUGGUAGCAACUUAGUAUAACAAUUGCCUUUUGUCUGCAAGCAGUAUUCUUAAUAACAUAUUGUGAAAGGCCAGUGCCUCAUAAAAACGCUACUGCUGGAAAUUAAAUUACAUUUUCUUAAUUUGAGCCUGCUCACCAUCACCUUAUGAAGCUGACAUCUUUGAUAAAAGCAUGCCCAUGGAAAUAUAUUACCUUUACAAAGCUGCCUUUGGUUGAUAUUUUAAGCAAUAAAAGAAUUUUCCCAAGCUU